rnacentral:rRNA from 1 species
AUUGAACGCUGGCGGCAGGCUUAACACAUGCAAGUCGAGCGGGGUGAUGGUGCUUGCACUAUCACUUAGCGGCGGACGGGUGAGUAAUGCUUAGGAAUCUGCCUAUUAGUGGGGGACAACAUCUCGAAAGGGAUGCUAAUACCGCAUACGUCCUACGGGAGAAAGCAGGGGAUCACUUGUGACCUUGUGCUAAUAGAUGAGCCUAAGUCGGAUUAGAUAGUUGGCGAGGUAACGGCUCACCAAGUCUACGAUCUUUAGGGGCUCUGAGAGGAGAAUCCCCCACACUGGCACUGAGAUACGGGCCAGACUCCUACGGGAGGCAGCAGUAGGGAAUAUUGGGCAAUGGGCGCAAGCCUGACCCAGCCACGCCGCGUGCAGGAAGAAGGCCCUCUGGGUUGUAAACUGCUUUUGACCGGGAAGAAAAGAAUCUUUGCGAAGAUAGUUGACGGUACCGGCAGAAUAAGCCACGGCUAACUACGUGCCAGCAGCCGCCGUAA